UAUUUAAAGUCAAGGUUGAGACCAGGAACAUCACUUCCAUCCUUGCUGCAGAUUGUGUUGAGACAUUUCACUAACGAACAUGAAGCUGUUUCUCCUGUUGGUUCUUGUCACUCUGUUGACUGCAGAAUGUAUCACUGCUCAAUGGCGGGAAUUCACCAAUCGCGACGGAAUACAGCUACGGAUGAAGAAAUUAGCAUCAGAUUAUCAGCGUCGGUCUGGUUCAGCAGGCGGUCUGAGAAGGCCAGGUGGAUCAAGUUCUGGUGCUGAUUGAUGCGAGAAACACCUGAUACGAUUCUGAUAUGCAGCAAAACAAAAUGAGCAAUAAAUCAUUUUUGUUCUCUA